GAUGAAGAACGUAGCGAAAUGCGAUACUUGGUGUGAAUUGCAGAAUCCCGUGAACCAUCGAGUCUUUGAACGCAAGUUGCGCCCGAAGCCAUUAGGCCGAGGGCACGCCUGCCUGGGCGUCACACGUCGUUGCCCCCCCAUCUACUCCUUCGGGAUUGCGGGGGGCGGAUGAUGGCCUCCCGUGCGCCUCGCCGCGCGGUGGGCAUAAAUGCCAAGUCCUCGGCGACGCACGCCACGACAAUCGGUGGUUGCGAAACCUCGGUUGCCCGUCGUGUGCGGUCGUCGCGCAUCGAGGGCUCGAAAAAAUUGCCGGGUUCCGGCUCGGCUUUCAACGCGACCCCAGGUCAGGCGGGGUUACCCGCUGAAUUUAAGCAUAUCAAUAAGCGGAGGA
rnacentral:misc_RNA from 1 species